UCAUCCUUGGGAUCCAUAAAGUGUCACGUGUCACAGUCUCAGAACACCAAAAGAACCUCCAGAGUUUGUUCUUCCGGAGUUGAAACAAGCAAACGCAUGAACUUGGGAGGGCCAGUUGUUGAUAGAUUACUGCCCUUGUUCACAACUCCCCGCUGUUUUUUUACAAUGUUUUCAGUGUUUUUGCAAUUACCCGCCUUAUCAUAUGAAAAUAUAUACAUAUAUAAACAAAAACACUUGAAGACAGUCAUAUAAUUACAGAUUUCAAGUCUAUUGCGAAAUGAACACACAUUACUAUAAAUAUAUUGGUCAGUGAAUACACCACAUACUUGACGACAAGCCUGGGAUUGUUUCGAAGCACCGAACGGUCUCGAAACAAGGAAUCGUGGCACCACGACUCCUUCCAGUAGGUCAUUGCUGCCGCGAUUGACGUGAGGUACACGCGUGUGUUGCAUUUUGUGCUUCCUCGGACACGUUCCCUGUGGUCAGGGUGAUUUAGAACUACCGAAAACUGUUCUUAUUGGCCAGGCUACCUCGGCUCCUCCCUGCCUCAAUCCUCGAUCUCCGCUCAGGACGGUUGCCAGAUUCCGUGCGUUCACCUGUAUUUCUGUCCCACGUGAGUAAAGGUUUUGUAUCGUCAUCAAGGGAAGGGUUAAUGGGACGUAUAAGAGUUUGUUGCAAAUGGUUCUUAGGCAAGGGUAAGCUGGAGUGGUGGCUGGCGGUAGAGAAGGCGGCCGCCCGGGGGAGGGUGUGUGGCAGCAAGUUGGCAACCUACGCGGCGGGGCGCGGGUCGGCAGGCUUCCUCAGUCGGUGAUAAGUUGUGGUAGGGAGAACUCGUAGCCCGCUCCUCUGUGUUGUUUAUCUCUUUGAAGCCCCUUCCCAGAGGCUUCUUCUCCCUUCUGGGCGCGGAUUGACUCUUCCCGUCGCCAUCACCACGAGCCAAACUGGAUUACACGACCAAACCCCAUCCGCGGAGCACGGUGAGUGUCCCUCACUGGUCACAUGCACCGCUCGCCCUCCUCCACCCUUAUUGUGCGUGCAUUCUGGCCGCAUCCACACUGAUAGGCUGGGUGUCAAGAGGGCCUUGGUGCUGCCAACUCGACCAGCUUAGAUCGUUGUCAUUUUUUUUUUUUCUGGUGUUAUCUCUCUGGUUUGUCCGUUAUCAUACGCUGCGCAACUCCGGAUCCUACUCCACAAACAGCAACAAAAAAUCCUUCGUACACAUGCAAUGUUGCGCACAGUAGGCCUGUCAACAUGCAUUUGAUAAUACUGUUUUCUUGAGCCUCUUAAGAAUGCUAUUAAAGAAAAGACCCUUCAUAAUUCUAAAGAUGCAAGGCAGCAGUGAGGAGAGGGGCGAUCAUGAUGUGUCGCGUACCAAGUCACCCCGGUGCUGAGGGCGUAAGGACCCUGUGCUGUUUUUGUUUUGAGAUCAAGUCGAGUUGCUUGGCUUGUGCGGGAUCUGAUCUGACCGCAACUAGGAGGACAGUAAAAGAAGAAUGGCAGAAAAGUGUGUCGUAGAGAAAUGGUUCAGAGGAGGGCUGAGCCUCAGUGUGGAGGGUGUGAGUGGCGACGUAGAUGAAGUGGAGCAAAACACUAGACGAAAGACACAUCAGGUGGAUGAGUUUUAGGAUCAGUUUGCGGAGGUAGGCGUUGCUCAGUGCUCGGUGUACCUGCGCAAUGGACGCUUUCAUUAUGUCAGAAACAGCAACAGAAGGACGCAGGUGGUGUGAGCGGCAGGUGAGUCGCACGUGUGAGUGGCCUGGUCAGGUGUGUGGCGGCGGCCGGGUGGGUCCAGGGGUCACCUGCAUCGCGCCUCGCAACCCCGCCGAUUAUGGCACCCCACCCACCGCUCCUCACGCAACCCGGCGCUCCCCUCCCCCUCCCCCCACUCGGCUGCUCCCACCACAAUGCAGCCGCAGACCCCACCGGGCCGCGCUUGACCCCCGCCUCCAGCUUCGAACCCGCCAGCCGUCCCUGCAGCCUCGCGCCUUUUAUGUAUUUUAUGGCUUUGUAGCGUCAACCUGUGACAUUAUUAUGUAUUGUAUUCCGCGCAGGUUUUGCCGGUAGGUUUUUAAGGAUUAGCUUAAUGGCGUGUGUUGUCCUAAUGAGGUGGUGUUCGUGAUUUUUUUCUUAAUCUUCAUAUGCAAGAUACGUAUUGGACGGUUCAUCAUGAGCUUUGCGAAACAACGCAUGUAUUCCUCUGUGGAGCAGUGAGGUAAAUAUGGUGUAGGCUGCGGAGAGGCGUGCGCUGCUUGGCAAUGGAGUGUUGUGGAGUGAUGGAAGGAAGUCCAGCAUGACGUCCCUUCCGGCGGUCCUCACUAUUGCCUUCUCGCUCCGCCGCCAAUAAACUUUUGUUUUGUUGUCAGCGGUUGUUUUGAGCUCAAUGCGUUUUAUGAUGGCUCCUCCCACACCCACCUGCCAAAUCACCACCUUACUCCUCGAUCCUCCCCUCCCCACUUCAUUCCAGUAGUUCCCUCGCACCUUGUCAAGCUUCCCCUGUUUUCUUAACUAACCGCAACCCUCCCCCAUUCCCCCACUCCAAAUCAAUCCCUUCUCUACUCCCCACCUCAGUCCUCCCUCUUUUCCCCUGUUGCCUUCCCUCUUCCUCUCGGUAUAACAUCCUUGUCCACUCUCCCUUCCACUACUGUCCCUUGUCCCCUUCUGUCCCAACUGUCUAUAUGAAGUUCCCCAGCAUCCCAACCCUUCUCUCAUUUCGUCUCUCUCUCUCUCUCUCUCUCUCUCUCUCUCUCUCUCUCUCUCUCUCUCUCUCUCUCUCUCUCUCUCUCUCUCUCUCUCUCUCUCUCUCUCCCCUUCAUCUUCCUUCCGCCUUUCUUUCCCUUCUUAUUUGUCAUUUCUUUUGUCUUCAGUACGUGGCUUUUUCCGUGCCCCCUUGAAUUGAUCAGUGUGGUAAGUGACAAGAUGUUGCAAGGCUGAUCUCAUCUUCUAACUUCUAGCCUUUCUUCCUUCUUCAUAUACCAACGCCGCUCUUGCCCUCAACCAGUCACCUGAGUGGGCGUGGCCAAAACGAACCACCAGCACCACCACCAUCACCGCAUUCCCGUCUGUGGCUCGCGGGCUGUUCAAGAUGUGGGCGAUAAUACAAUAUCCUACAGCUUCCAAUGCAGCGUUCCAAGAAGGAAUGUGUGUGUGUGUGUGUGUGUGUGUGUGUGUGUGUCUAUAAUUCACCCACACGCUAGACUCGUGAUCACCAGCCAUUACCGUCCCGGAGAGUCCCUGAGGCGCCUGUAGUUCGAUGUAUGGGUGAGGCUGAGACCUUUCAAACACGCGCAGUUCAUCUUGGUGCGUAGAGAGCAGGAGGUGCUCGGCUACUAGUGAACAUCUUUAACCCGAGCCGGGGGCGAACUGCAGCCUGUUAAGUGACAGGCAAGGACAUUAAGAACGUCAGUGUGUGUGUGUGUGUGUGUGUGUGUUUGUUUAUGACUAUGUUUAUGUAUUAUAAGUUGAGUAUUGUAAGAGCUUCUUUUACACAGGCGCACACACACACACACACACACACACACACACACACACACUUGUAUGGCCGUAUCCACUGUCCAUGAUCCUUAUGCUCUUAUGAUGUAAGUCGCCUGGAGCGUACUGUGCUGCAGAGGUGUGGAGGGUGUGGGUUAAAAAGAGACCGGGGAGCUGCAGAACCGGAUCUUCUGCCUGUGCGAGUUCAAACACAUCUAGACAAGCCGCACGUGUGACUGAGGCCUGCGCGGAGAGAGUAAAGAGCAAGUGUAGGAGCAGCUUUCCGUAUGAAUUACUGUGUCCUUUCACGGAAACAAUACGAAACUACAAUAGGGAAAAAGGACUUGUGUAAGCACCCGUGUCUGUAGAGAAUGAGUCGCAAGCAAGGACUGGACACUGGUGAUUCCUGGUCAUUGCUUUCGCGGAGUGCUGGACGCGCCUUUCUCUGUCAUCACUCAUACCGGAAUGCCGUGGUGGAGAUCGCUUUGAAGAGUCUUUGUAGAAUAAUGUACUGCAUAUUGAUGAUCCUUUGAAGUAUAAUUAAUAUCUUAAAUAAAUAUGUACACGUGGAACUUCAUAAACUGUUUUUUUUUGUCUGGCAGAAAGACAGCUCUUUACGAUUAUGAAAACACCGCACGCACAAAUUACCUGAAAAUAUGAGCUGCCGAAGAGAAAUUUCAUAGUAAAUGCUAUUCAAACAAACGAAGAUCAAAUCAGAGAUAAAGACAUGAAGGUUCGGUUGUCUUUUAUAAAUAACAUGUAAUGCGGAAGUGGUGAAUGUCUUGCCAGAACAAGGGAACACCGCUGCCUGAGGGCCUGGGGUGUUCGCGUGUCGGUCUGACCCUCCGCAGCCUCAGAGCGGGAAGCCGGUGGGUGAGUGUGGCGUGCUGGUUGAGAGACGCACCUCAGCCCACGUGGUACUCCUGUCCUUGCUCGUGUCAGGCGGUGCUGUUAGUCACCUCAUGCAACUGUACUGGUAUUUUCCUUGUUUGGUCUCCUCUGCCUCAGAUCGUUCUCUCCUCCACGUCCUCUAUAUCGUUGACCUUUGUUCUUUUCUAGCUUUUCCUGUUGAUAAUUUUUCUCCUACAUUCCUUCUCAUUUUCAUUUUCUUAAAGCUUUUUUAUUAUGCUGAUCUCGUUAGUAUUUUUUUCUGAGAUAUUCCUUAUUCCUCUUCCGUCAUCAUUGCCCACAUCAUCGUCAUAACCACCAUCACCUUCACCACCAUCAUCGUUAUCAUUAUCAUCAUUUUCACCACCACCAAUCACCUCAACCUCCACCAGCGGUUAAUGAUUCUUUUCUUUACUCAUAAUAAAGUUAUUAGUACAGUAGGAAGCAGCGUUAGGCCUAGAGGUUAUCGAGCCAUCUUGUAAUUAUGAAAACAGACGAAUGGCAGGAGGCUUCCCCAUUCAGGCCCCAAGAGACUGGUCGCUCGCCGGGCCAAGGCUUAUUGUAAUUCGUCCAUGAAUAAAAGAUGUGUAUAUUUUCUAAACAAACA